rnacentral:misc_RNA from 1 species
GAGAAGAACGCAGCGAAAUGCGAUAAGUAAUGUGAAUUGCAGAAUUCAGUGAAUCAUCGAAUCUUUGAACGUACAUUGCGCCCCUCGGUAUUCCGAGGGGCAUGCCUGUUCGAGCGUCAUUAUAACCCUUCAAGCUCAGCUUGGUGUUGGGGCCUGCUGUAACUGGUAGCCCUUAAAAUCAGUGGCAGUGCUAUUAGGCUCUAAGCGUAGUAAUUCUUCUCGCUAUAGUGUGUAGUGAGCGCUUGCCAGAACCCCAAACUUUUAUAUGAUUGACCUCGGAUCAGGUAGGGAUACCCGCUGAACUUAAGCAUAUCAAUAAGCGGAGGA